CAAAAGUUCACUACAAAUAAUCACUGAAAAUAUCCCACAGGACUCCAUGGAGUUUUUUAAAGACCUUCUAUGCAGAUCUUCAUUCCCUCCGAAGCACCCAGCAUUGGCCAUGUUCAUAACAUGAUUUAAUAAUGUGGAGAAGAGAUAAUUAAGACUGUACCUGCAAAAGUAAUUCCUUGUAUGUAUCUUCCUGAAUUCUGAGCCAAGUGGAACAAAGCAUUACAAUCCUACAAGCUGUUAGAAACAACUGACCAGUCGACAAGGGUUCACAUUACAAUGAAUACUUUUAAUUGUACCACUGGUGACAGCCUCACUGAUGCCAAGGAUUGAAUGGACAGAGAAGAAUGUCAAACGAGAUCCUUCUGCUUCCGGGGAGAGGCACAUUAGAGGGGCAAUCAGGGGAAGCUUGCACAGACACACUUUGUACAUUGGAUAAAAUAAAAAACAAUUAGGCCACUCCUCUGAGCUUUUGUUUGAAAUGUAACUGGAGGCUGGGCUGAUAUUUCAGAUAUGCCGAAGUCAGAUACUGUGGACAACCUAGUUAUUGAUUUGGUAUUGUAUUGUACUAGCACAGCAGCAUCUGUUUGGAGCACUUCUGAUUUCAGAUCUAGUGCCAAUCUCGCUAAAA